rnacentral:lncRNA from 1 species
GGCUUGCAUGGAACUUUCACAUACUCGUGCAGGGAGAUUCUCGAGUCUUUUCGCGCCAGUCGACAGGCGUCAAAGGACAAAGCCUUGCAUGCAAUGCAACACGCACUCACUGCCACUCCCUAUGCACAGCAUGCAUGAUCCCCAUCAGAGUCCCAGAGCUAGCUCAGGUUGAGGGGCAUGGCAGCCAUGCCCAUGCCCCCAAGCUAGCUAGUCCCCGGGCGCUUGGCGCUGGCCCGGCCCUCACUCCCUUGCUACCCAUCCACUAGUUAUCGCAGAUUCGCAGGCAUAAACUAAUCCGGCCGGCUGCAGCUAGUCAUCGGCAACGCUGCAGUAUAAAUUCAGGGCAGCUCCAUCGACGAGCCCCUGGGGGACCAGGCUGGGAGAGCCCCUCCCUGGUCUCCUCUCCUCUUCUAUCCGAGCUCGGCAUUCAGGGCUACUACACCCGCGCUUACAUGCAUCCAUUCAUGCAUAUUCAUAUAUGCAUAUGCAUUGUUCGUUCUGAAAAGGGGAAGGUUUUUGAUCGAGAGGCAAUGCAAUGAUCAGGUAUGGAUUAUUUGGACAUUUAAUUCCACGCAUGGUUCUUCAGUGAUUAUCUGUGUCCAUGCAUCUCUGAACUAAGGAUGUACCAGCAGGGUGUGGUCGAGGUCGAUCGUGGAUCAUGGCCGCAGCCGGCGGCCGCAUGCAUGCAUGGGAUGAUGCUGUAGGCACACACAACUCUGUGCGCGGCCAGCGGCAUUGGCGCCUCCUGUCGCCACAGCUUUGGAUAGAGGAACCAAAAAAACGGGUCAUGUGGCUAGCAGCUUCUGUCGUUUAUUUUCACUUUAUUAAUUAGUUAUAUAAUCGCAUGCUCUAUUGUUGGUAACUGUUGUACUAUAUAUAUCUAGUUCUCUUCGCUGUUCAGAAGAUUGUAGAACUUAUGCAAUUCUAGUUUCCUCUUUCAUCCUGAGUUUUUUUCUUCUUGCCGUGGUUGUUUGAAUGCUUCUUAGUACUCUGUAUAUCACUAUGCAGUUUUGUAUAUGCACUUUAACAUAACUACCAAAGUUUUGAUUGAAUAUAUAUACAAUACAUGGUACUACCGAACAAAGU